rnacentral:rRNA from 1 species
UACGAAGGGGGCUAGCGUUGCUCGGAAUCACUGGGCGUAAAGCGCACGUAGGCGGAUUUUUAAGUCAGGGGUGAAAUCCUGGAGCUCAACUCCAGAACUGCCUUUGAUACUGGGAAUCUCGAGUCCGGAAGAGGUGAGUGGAACUGCGAGUGUAGAGGUGAAAUUCGUAGAUAUUGGGAAGAACACCAGUGGCGAAGGCGGCUCACUGGCUCGUAACUGACGCUCAGGCGCGACAGCGUGGGGAUCAAACAGG